rnacentral:rRNA from 1 species
AGCAGCCGCGGUAAUUCCAGCUCCAAUAGCGUAUAUUAAAGUUGUUGCAGUUAAAAAGCUCGUAGUUGAAUUUCGGGGUUAGUAGGUUGGUCGUGCCACUGGUAUGUACUGGUUCUACUGAUCCCUCCUUCUUGUAGAACCGUAAUGCCAUUCACUUGGUGUUGCGGGGAAACAGGACUGUUACUUUGAAAAAAUUAGAGUGUUUAAAGCAGGCUAACGCUUGAAUACAUUAGCAUGGAAUAAUGAAAUAGGACGUUCGAUCCUAUUUUGUUGGUUUCUAGGAUUGACGUAAUGAUUAAUAGGGAUAGUUGGGGGCAUUAGUAUUCAAUUGUCAGAGGUGAAAUUCUUGGAUUUAUUGAAGACUGACUACUGCGAAAGCAUUUGCCAGGAUGUUUUCAUUAAUCAAGAACGAAAGUUAGGGGAUCGAAGACGAUCAGAUACCGUCGUAGUCUUAACCAUAAACUAUGCCGACUAGGGAUCGGAUGAUGUUAAUUUUUAAUGACUCAUUCGGCGCCUUACG